CGCGUAGGCGGUGCGGUAAGUCACCUGUGAAAUCUCCUGGCUCAACCGGGAGCUUGCAGGCGAAACUGCCGUGCUGGAGUAUGGGAGAGGUGCGUGGAAUUCCUGGUGUAGCGGUGAAAUGCGUAGAUAUCAGGAGGAACACCUGUGGCGAAAGCGGCGCACUGGACCAUAACUGACGCUGAGGCGCGAAAGCUAGGGAGCAAACA
rnacentral:rRNA from 1 species